rnacentral:rRNA from 1 species
CGGUCAAAUGUGUUAAUCCUCGGUGGACUAACAAUGAGCGAAGGCAUCUUACGAGGACGAAUCUGACAGUGAGGGAUGAAGGCCAGGGGCGCAAACCGGAUUAGAUACCCGUGUAGUCCUGGCAGUAAACACUGCUCACUAAACAUUGGGCCCUCUUCGGGAGGAUUCAGUGCUGAAGCGAAGGCGAAGAGUGAGCUACCUGGGAAGUAUAGUCGCAAGAUCGAAACUUAAAGGAAUUGGCG